rnacentral:rRNA from 1 species
CAGCAGCCACGGGAAUACGGAGGGUGCAAGCGUUAUCCGGAUUUAUUGGGUUUAAAGGGUCCGUAGGCGGAUCUGUAAGUCAGUGGUGAAAUCUCGCAGCUUAACUGUGAAACUGCCAUUGAUACUGCAGGUCUUGAGUAAAUUUGAAGUGGCUGGAAUAAGUAGUGUAGCGGUGAAAUGCAUAGAUAUUACUUAGAACACCAAUUGCGAAGGCAGGUCACUAAGAUUUAACUGACGCUGAUGGACGAAAGCGUGGGGAGCGAACAGGAUUAGAUACCCCUGUAGUCCCUGUCUCUUAUAC